rnacentral:rRNA from 1 species
ACGCUGGCGGCGUGCUUAACACAUGCAAGUCGAACGAUGAAGCCUAGCUUGCUAGGUGGAUUAGUGGCGAACGGGUGAGUAAUACGUGAGUAACCUACCUUUAACUCUGGGAUAAGCCUGGGAAACUGGGUCUAAUACCGGAUACGACCAAUCUCCGCAUGGGGUGUUGGUGGAAAGCGUUAUGUAGUGGUUAUAGAUGGGCUCACGGCCUAUCAGCUUGUUGGUGAGGUAACGGCUCACCAAGGCGACGACGGGUAGCCGGCCUGAGAGGGUGACCGGCCACACUGGGACUGAGACACGGCCCAGACUCCUACGGGAGGCAGCAGUGGGGAAUAUUGCACAAUGGGCGCAAGCCUGAUGCAGCGACGCCGCGUGAGGGAUGACGGCCUUCGGGUUGUAAACCUCUGUUAGCAGGGGAGAAGAGAGAUUGACGGUACCUGCAGAGAAAGCGCCGGCUAACUACGUGCCAGCAGCCGCGGUAAUACGUAGGGCGCGAGCGUUGUCCGGAAUUAUUGGGCGUAGAGAGCUUGUAGGCGGUUUGUCGCGUCUGCUGUGAAAGGCCGGAGCUUAACUCCGUGUAUUGCAGUGGGUACGGGCAGACUAGAGUGCAGUAGGGGAGACUGGAAUUCCUGGUGUAGCGGUGGAAUGCGCAGAUAUCAGGAGGAACACCGAUGGCGAAGGCAGGUCUCUGGGCUGUAACUGACGCUGAGAAGCGAAAGCAUGGGGAGCGAACAGGAUUAGAUACCCUGGUAGUCCAUGCCGUAAACGUUGGGCACUAGGUGUGGGGGACAUUCCACGUUUUCCGCGCCGUAGCUAACGCAUUAAGUGCCCCGCCUGGGGAGUACGGCCGCAAGGCUAAAACUCAAAGAAAUUGACGGGGGCCCGCACAAGCGGCGGAGCAUGCCGAUAA